AACGCACCUUGCACUCCUUGGUAUUCCGAGGAGUAUGCCUGUUUGAGUGUCAUGGAAAUAUCUCACACUGUUGUUCCAGUCAUAUGGAAACAUCGUGGUGUGGAGUGUGGAGGGCCUGUGCUGGGGAGACACACAUAUAUAAUUAUGUGUAUGUCCCAGCUCCUCUGAAAAUCAUUAGUGCCAAUUUUGUAGUGCCACUAUUCUCAGUGUGAUAAUCAUGUCUGCGCUGUGGAUGGGUGCUGCUUCUCUGUGGUGCUUUACUCUCUAGUGGUCUGUCCCUUGUCGGGACAGGCCCAUAGUUUGAUGUUUGACCUCAAAUCAGGUAGGACUACCCGCUGAACUUAA
rnacentral:misc_RNA from 1 species